GACAGAGGCCUCGAGCGUUAGGCGGAAUCACUGGGCUUAAAGCGUGUGUAGGCGGAUCGUUAAGUGCCUUGUGAAAUCCCACGGCUUAACUGUGGAACGGCUGGGCAUACUGGCGGUCUUGAGCCAUCUAGGGGCGACUGGAACAAACGGUGGAGCGGUGAAAUGCGUAGAUAUCGUUUGGAACGCCAAAGGUGAAAACAGGUCGCUGGGGAUGAGCUGACGCGUGA
rnacentral:rRNA from 1 species